GUCUCCGACUCACUACUCUCCCCCAAAUCAGGAUACAUAAUUUAAAACUGGUUCAGAGUAUUUUAAUCUAGGACAGAUUGAUAUUCCCCGAACAAACUGAUGUCUCCUGAUUCUGAAAAUCAAGUGUGAGAAGACCUUCCUAAGUCUUGUUCUAUUUCUAGGUUUCAUGUACCAACCUGUAUUCCUCCCACCUCCUGCCCAGAAGGCUCUAGAUGUUUAAUAAAACAAAAAUAAAAAUUUC